rnacentral:rRNA from 1 species
GAUGAACGCUGGCGGCGUGCCUAAUACAUGCAAGUCGAGCGAACGGACGAGAAGCUUGCUUCUCUGAUGUUAGCGGCUGACGGGUGAGUAACACGUGGAUAACCUACUUAUAAUACUGGGAUAACUUCGGGAAGCCGUAUCUAAUACCGGAUAAUAUUUUGAACCGCAUGGUUCAAAAGUGAAAGACGGUCUUGCUGUCACUUAUAGAUGGAUCCGCGUUGCAUUAGCUAGUUGGUAAGGUAACGGCUUACCAAGGCAACGAUGCAUAGCCGACCUGAGAGGAUGAUCGGCCACACUGGAACUGAGACACGGUCCAGACUCCUACGGGAGGCAGCAGUAGGGAAUCUUCGGCAAUGGGCGAAAGCCUGACGGAGCAACGCCGCGUGAGUGAAGAAGGUCUUCGGAUCGUAAAGCCCUGUUAUUAGGGAAGAAAAGAUGUAUAAGUAAAUGCGGCCAUCUUGACGGUACCUAAUCAGAAAGCCACGGCUAACUACGUG